rnacentral:lncRNA from 1 species
GGCAUAUUGAAGUUCCCAGGCUAGGGGUCAAAUCGCAGCUGCAGGCCUAUGCCACAGCCAUAGCCACACAGGAGUCGAGCCUUGUCUGCAACCUACACCACAGCUCACAGCAGUGCUGGAUCCCCAACCCCACUGAGCAAGGCUAGGGAUCAGACCUGCGUCCUGAUGGAUACUAGACAGAUUUGUUUGCACUGAGCAACUAAUAUACUAGACAGAUGGAUACUAGAUGGAUACUAGACAGAUUUGUUUGCACUGAAUAACUAAUAUCUACUCCAUGUUUUGAUUUACUUUUUAAAAACAAACUUACGUCAGCUGGCAUGGAGUGGAUAAGAGAGAAUUCCGGACUGAUAACGGUUCUGCUGGCGCUGACGCAUCUGUCCAGCUCUGGCCUCAGCCCCCUCUGGUCCCAGCCCCACCCCCCUUUAUCUAGAACUUUAGAGUUUCCUGCUCACUUUUCACCCCCUGUCUCAUACUCAUCUGCCUCUCAGCAUGUACCAAGUGAAGCCAGGGGGAGGUGGGAUCCGUCUGUUAAGGGCCAGACCAGGUUCCAGGGCUCAAGUGAUUUGCUCAAGGUCACCAGGGUGGAGUCUUGAACCUGGGCUGUCUAACCCCCCCUGCAUAAGAAGUGCUGGCUUCCUCCUCUGGUCUCCCAGGAGGCAGGUCCUGAGACGCUGGCUGGGAUGUGGUCUAUAGGAACCCUGGCUGGCUCUAAGGAGAAAAGAGGGAACGGUCCCUGUCUAGGAGAGGUGGCCCUGGGGGAGGGGGCAUUCCUCCCUGAAGCCAUCCCUCCUAGGUCUUCCCCCGCUUCCUCAGACCCUAGCAAAGGAGGGAGAGGGACAGGCUGGCGGUCUGGUCUGGAGAAAGAGAAAGAGGAUAAGAAGGAGAGUCAGAGACACAGGGGGACAGAGAGGAGAGAGGGACACAUGGACAGAGAUAGGGAGCGACAGAGGUACAGAGACAAGCUGUCAGACGCAGAGGCAGACACACAGAGAAGGGCAGACAAAACAGAGGGCGCGAGAAACACGGCCCCAAAGAGACACAGGAGGAAGUUGGCCGAAGAUAAAGACACUCACAACGAGACGCGCACAGGGACGGAAUCGGAACCCGAGCUCGCGGAACGAGAGGCGGACGGCCGCACGGGGAAGCCUGGAGGAAAGAGAGCCCGGGAAGCCAGAGAACCCCGCGUGUGGCGGGAGCCCAGCCCGGGCGCCGGAAGGGAGAGGGUGCCCCGCCUCCCGGCAGGGGGCGCUCUGGCCCCGCGGGCAGGGCUCGGCGGGGGGUGUGCGGGGAGGGCCCCGGCCAGCCGGGGGCGGGGGCGGGGGCGGGAGCGGGGGCGGGGGAGGGCUGCCCCGGCCGCGUUCGGGCCCCGCGGCCGCCUUUAUAAGCCUGCGGGGGAGGUGGCCUCGGCAGCGUCGCGCUCCCGCCACUCCGCGCCACCGGACCCGUGCACCGACUCCACAUCACUUCUGCCAGGACAGUCCUUCACCCACGAGCUCUUUGCAGGUGAAGAAACUGGUCCUGGAGAGGGGAGGUGA